rnacentral:rRNA from 1 species
AACGUAGGUACCGAGCGUUAUCCGGAUUUACUGGGCGUAAAGCGCGUUCAGGCGGUUUGGCAAGUCGGGCAUGAAAUCUCUCGGCUCAACCGGGAGAGGUUGUCCGAUACUGCUGGACUUGGGGGCAGUAGAGGGUGGUGGAAUUCCGGGUGUAGUGGUGAAAUGCGUAGAUAUCUGGAGGAACACCGGUGGCGAAGGCGGCAUCCUGGACCGGUAUUGACGCUGAUGCGCGAAAGCCAGGGGAGCAAACGGG